rnacentral:lncRNA from 1 species
GCUGGGGUGGCUCUAUGGGGUGGGGUGAGCAUGUUAUGGGGAUUGACGGGGGGCCAAUGUGGGGUUGGGGUGAUGCUGAGGGGUCACGGGGGCACCCCAGAGGGUCAAUGUGGGGCUGGGCUCACCCUAUGGGGUGAUAAGAUCACCCUACAGGGAUGCUAUGGGAACGGGGGUCACCCCCUAUACUUAUGGGGCCACGUUAACCCCUCUCAUCCCCCCCCACUGCCCCACAUCACCCCACAGUCGAGGACUGGGAGUGCUUCCAGGCCAUCUUGGACCACACUUAUGGCAAACACGUCAAGUCAGAGCCAGGCCUGCACCCCGUCCUCAUGUCUGAAGCGCCGGUACGACCCCCCCCCACCCCACAUCACCCCACAACCCCGCCCCACACAUUGCGCCCGUCCCCCAAACCCCACACGCUGUACCUCCUGCCCCAUAGUGGAACACGAGGGCCAAGAGGGAGAAGCUGACGGAGCUGAUGUUCGAGCACUACAACAUCCCAGCUUUCUUCCUCUGCAAAACGGCCGUCCUCACCGCCUUUGCCAACGGGCGCAGCACGGGGUUGGUGUUGGACAGCGGAGCCACGCACACCACGGCCAUCCCAGUGCACGACGGGUACAUCCUGCAGCAAGGUGCUAUGGGGCGGCUAUG